CACGGGGGUUGGAGGGCAAGUCUGGUGCCAGCAGCCGCGGUAAUUCCAGCUCCAAUAGCGUAUAUUAAAGUUGUUGCAGUUAAAAAGCUCGUAGUUGAAUUUCGGGAUCGAAUUGUUGGUCGUGCUUCGGUACGUACUGGCAUUAUUGGUUCCUACCUUCUGAAGAACCGCGAUGUCAUUAAUUUGGUGUCGUGGGGAAUCAGGACUGUUACUUUGAAAAAAUUAGAGUGUUUAAAGCAGGCGCACGCUUGAAUACAUUAGCAUGGAAUAAUGAAAUAGGACGUUUGAUUCUAUUUUGUUGGUUUCUAGGAUCGACGUAAUGAUUAAUAGGGAUAGUUGGGGGCAUUAGUAUUCAAUUGUCAGAGGUGAAAUUCUUGGAUUUAUUGAAGACUAACUACUGCGAAAGCAUUUGCCAAGGAUGUUUUCAUUAAUCAAGAACGAAAGUUAGGGGAUCGAAGACGAUCAG
rnacentral:rRNA from 1 species